CAUCGAUAUAAACAAGAUUUUAAAGUCUGUCAAAGUUUUACUUGUUUGCCUAUACUCUGGAUACUAGUUGCGCGUUGCGUUCAUGCACAGACACGGAGACACCUAAGCAGUACAUUUACACAAAGAGAACAACAUUGGCACGAACAGACUGUAAAUAGCUAGUGGGUCUCACUACGAGUUACUGGAGUGAAAAAAUAAUGUUCACUCCUUUUCACUUUAUGUAGUAGUCUUGUAUUUGAAGCAAAUAAAUUGCUCCAGGAAGUACUUGAAACAAAUAAAUUUCUCCAUCGUCUGGAUUGUAACACUUACUGAAACCCACCAGUAACCGAACCGAGUGCAUGCAAAGAACCACGUGACCGGAAGCUCAAAUGUUAACCUCUUAAGAUUGACUUUCGAUUCAGAUGAUGUCGAAAUUCUGAUUAACUGAGGUCAAUAUCUCAUUUUUUAUUAGCAUGCAAACAUCCGAAUAAAAGUCAACCUUGCGUGCAAAUGUACUACUAACCACAGACCGCCAGGAAUUUUAAACCGGUUAACCCAGAGACUUCACCGACCACAUGCAAAUUAGAGUCUUGGGUAUGAAUCCUACAAAUAUACUGCCUGUUAGCAGGCUAACUUGACUGCCUGAUAGCAGGCUAACUACUGUCUGAUAACAAGCUAACUACUGCUUGUUAUCAGACUAAACCCUCUAACCUUGAGGCAGUCAUCUCGUUGCUGUCGUGCAGCUUUCGUCGUCAAGGUACAUUGGUAGGUAACCGUCGAUCGAGAGGCAAUUUUAUCCACAAAUGUUCAUAAUAAUCCACAAGUGUUCGUUGUAAUCCAUUAAUGUUCACAAUUAUCCAUAAAUGUUCACAAUAUCUCCAAUAGCGCACAGUGUCACAGUAAUCCGUAUUUAUCCUUUGGUAUCCGCUACGACUCUCACUGGACCUCCCAUCCGACACCUCAAAUGACGUUUUGGUCAGUUUUAAAUUUUUU